AAGACAGCAGAAUAACAGACACUGGAGGAUAUGAAUUGAGUAUUACUAGUAAUAGGGAGUCUGUCAAGAGAUUCAGUGUAACUGUUUAUGCUCCACUAUCCAUUCCUGUCGUUACCAGUGACAUUUCACAGUGUUCAUCAGGCUCAGAAUGUUCACUUUUGUGUUCAGUUGUGAAUGUGAGUCACGUGACUCUCUCCUGGUACAAAGGAAACAGUUUAUUGUCCAGCAUCAGUGUGUCUGAUCUCAGCAUCAGUCUCUCUCUACCUCUGGAGGUGGAAUAUCAGGAGAAAAACAGCUACAGCUGUGUGAUCAACAAUCCCAUCAGCAACAAGACCAAACACGUCUGCAUUACCGAUCUCUGUCGUUUGUGUUCAGUUCCCUCUUCAGAUGAAGUCCAUUAUGGCGGAGGGACUGAACCUGUGAUCCGAUUGGUCGUCACUGCUGUGGUGGGUCUGGCUGCUGUGGCUGCGUUCAUUGUGCUGGUUUAUGACAUCAGAUCCAGAAGAG